rnacentral:lncRNA from 1 species
CCAGCCUCAAGAACUGUGAGAAAUCAAUAGUAGUACGUCGUUUAUGAGCCACUCAGUUUAUGGUAUUUUCUUAUGGUAACACAAAGGAAGUAAGACAAAAACACAUGCACAUGUAUGUUUAUUGUGGCACAUAUACACAAAUGUCCAACAAUGUCCAACAAAUGAUAGACUGGUUUAAGAAAAUGUGGCACAUGUACACCAUGUAAUACUAUGCAGC